UACGGAGGGUGCGAGCGUUAUCCGGAUUUAUUGGGUUUAAAGGGUGCGUAGGCGGGCUGUUAAGUCAGCGGUCAAAUGUCGGGGCUCAACCCCGGCCUGCCGUUGAAACUGGUGGCCUCGAGUGGGCGAGAAGUAUGCGGAAUGCGUGGUGUAGCGGUGAAAUGCGUAGAUAUCACGCAGAACUCCGAUUGCGAAGGCAGCAUACCGGCGCCCGACUGACGCUGAGGCACGAAAGCGUGGGUAUCGAACAGG
rnacentral:rRNA from 1 species